CUCCAACCCCCUGUGACAUACCACUUGUUGCCUCGGCGGAUCAGCCCGCUCCCGGUAAAACGGGACGGCCCGCCAGAGGACCCCUAAACUCUGUUUCUAUAUGUAACUUCUGAGUAAAACCAUAAAUAAAUCAAAACUUUCAACAACGGAUCUCUUGGUUCUGGCAUCGAUGAAGAACGCAGCAAAAUGCGAUAAGUAAUGUGAAUUGCAGAAUUCAGUGAAUCAUCGAAUCUUUGAACGCACAUUGCGCCCGCCAGUAUUCUGGCGGGCAUGCCUGUUCGAGCGUCAUUUCAACCCUCAAGCACAGCUUGGUGUUGGGACUCGCGUUAAUUCGCGUUCCCCAAAUUGAUUGGCGGUCACGUCGAGCUUCCAUAGCGUAGUAGUAAAACCCUCGUUACUGGUAAUCGUCGCGGCCACGCCGUUAAACCCCAACUUCUGAAUGUUGACCUCGGAUCAGGUAGGAAUACCCGCUGAACUUAAGCAUAUCAAUAAGCGGAGGAAAAGAAACCAACAGGGAUUGCCCUAGUAACGGCGAGUGAAGCGGCAACAGCUCAAAUUUGAAAUCUGGCUCUCGGGCCCGAGUUGUAAUUUGUAGAGGAUACUUUUGAUGCGGUGCCUUCCGAGUUCCCUGGAACGGGACGCCAUAGAGGGUGAGAGCCCCGUCUGGUUGGAUGCCAAAUCUCUGUAAAGUUCCUUCAACGAGUCGAGUAGUUUGGGAAUGCUGCUCUAAAUGGGAGGUAUAUGUCUUCUAAAGCUAAAUACCGGCCAGAGACCGAUAGCGCACAAGUAGAGUGAUCGAAAGAUGAAAAGCACUUUGAAAAGAGAGUUAAAAAGUACGUGAAAUUGUUGAAAGGGAAGCGUUUAUGACCAGACUUGGGCUUGGUUAAUCAUCUGGGGUUCUCCCCAGUGCACUUUUCCAGUCCAGGCCAGCAUCAGUUUUCCCCGGGGG
rnacentral:sRNA from 1 species